UAUUUUAGAGAAACAUUUGUUAAAAAUAUGGGUGCUGAGUAUGACUAAUGAUAACACAGAAACACAAUAUGACAACAUGAGGAGAGACAAAAGGCACAACAUCUUCUUGUAUCCAAUAAAAGUAAACCGAUUGAAACGACAUUUACCGGACAAAUGCGGAGAGAUGAGCGCUCUCAAUCUCAAAUUUUGUAAAAUUUAAAAAUCAGGCCUUAUAGUGGCUCGAUGGUUGCGAACCUCAGGCGUCGAGAUGAAUGAUUGAGAAAAGCGACUCGUAGUGGACCGGUUGGAUAAGCACUGAGAGAGGGAAGACGGCGACCACGCUGGCGGGUUGGUAUCGAAGUCCUGACGUUGCUGUUGUGAACUGAGGAGAAGACGUAACGCAAAAGCCGUCAAAACAUAACUAUUGCAAGACUUUUAGUCAUCAUCAUCAUCAGCCGUACGACGUCCACUGCUGGGCAUAGGCCUCCCCCAAGGAUCUCCACGACGAUCGGUCCUGCGCUGCCCGCAUCCAGCGGCUUCCCGCGACCUUCACCAGAUCGUCGGUCCACCUUGUAGCGGGCCUACCCACUGAGCGUCGUCCGACACGUGGUCGCCAUUCCAGAACCUUUCCGCCUCAUCGGCCAUCGGUUCUCCUCGCUAUGUGUCCUGCCCACUGCCACUUCAGCCUUUUAGUAUGCAGAUAUUAUAAUAAAAUUUCAAAAACUCAAA